AUGGAAGAUUCUAGACUAAACCACAAAUGGAUACACCAGGAUAGAGACAUCUUUGCGGCCUCCACAAAAGUCGUUGUGGGCGAUGGUACUCGUGCCAUUUUUUGGGAGUCUGCUUGGCUUGAUGGUUUGCGACCCAAGGACAUUGCACCAAUUUUUUUUGAGCUGUCACAAAGAAGGAAUUGCUCGGUCCAGAAAGCGCUCCUCAACCUAUGGGAGAAGCUAUCUCAUGUUCAGCUAAUACCUGACAUGCCUGACUCCAUCAUUUGGAAGCUCACCAAGGAUGGUCACUAUUCUGCAGCAACAGCUUACAGUGCGCAGUUUCUCGGUUUAGUUGACUCGGACUUGCCUCAAAUUGUUUGGACAACUUGGGCCCCCCCAAAAUGCAAGUUUUUUGCUUGGCUAGUCAUCAACAAUAGACUCUGGAUGGCAGACCGGCUUCAGAAGUGA
rnacentral:rRNA from 1 species